UACGAAGGGGGCUAGCGUUACUCGGAUUGACUGGGCGUAAAGGGCGCGUAGGCGGUUUGUACAGUCAGACGUGAAAUCCUGGGCUCAACCUGGGGGCUGCGUUUGAUACGUGCGGACUUGAGUUCGGAAGAGGGUCGUGGAAUUCCCAGUGUAGAGGUGAAAUUCGUUAGAUAUUGGGAAGAACACCGGUGGCGAAGGCGGCGACCUGGUCCGAUACUGA
rnacentral:rRNA from 1 species